rnacentral:rRNA from 1 species
UGGGGGGAUAACGUAGCGAAAGCUAGCUAAUACCGCAUACGAUCUAUGGAUGAAANCGGGGGAUGCAAGACCUCGCGCGAUUGGAGCGGCCGAUAUCAGAUUAGGGUAGUUGGUGAGGUAAAGGCUCACCAAGCCGACGAUCUGUAGCUGGUCUGAGAGGACGACCAGCCACACUGGGACUGAGACAGGCCCAGACUCCUACGGGAGGCAGCAGUGGGGAAUUUUGGACAAUGGGCGCAAGCCUGAUCCAGCAAUGCCGCGUGCAGGAUGAAGGCCUUCGGGUUGUAAACUGCUUUUGUACGGAACGAAACGGUGAGCUCUAAUACAGUUUGCUAAUGACGGUACCGUAAGAAUAAGCACCGGCUAACUACGUG